GAUCAGGGCUUGAUAUUCUGGGAAUGUUCCUGAUCAAAGUCUGUCGAUUCAUUUGUCACUCCAGCAAAUUGCACUUGUCUUUUCAGAGAACCAGUUCUGGUUUGAGACCACAGUGAAGAUGAUGAGCAUAAAAAAACCUCCUCCAACCAGACAAGACAUAGAGAGAAUCUCAAAGAGACCUUUGAGGAAAAGAGGAAAAAAAUCAACGAAUCUCUUCCCACGUGACGGUGACUGUCUUUACACCAAUGUUUUCUACCUUGGUUAGAGGACCUUUUGAUGGGACUGAGAAGA